rnacentral:rRNA from 1 species
AUGUCCGCCGGACCGACGACGGCCAGGACGACGUCCGGCGUCCAGCGCUGGAACGAGGAGCUCGACCAGGCUGAGCUGGGCGUCCAACCGGACAAGGCAGCAGUCCACGCCGGCGAGUGCGUGCAUGGCCCACCCCUCCGCCCACGGCGAUGCGGCUCCCGGCUGCGCAGCCGCAGCGUGGAGCAUCCGCGCGUAUGUGUAUGCGUCAGCGGCCACCCUACACGCUGCAUCUUCAUGAAUACGCCUAUUAAAUCCAGACUUGCAGCAAGGCGUCGCCGCGGACUUUACUGGCCCAACGCUGCCGUGAUGGCCGCCACACUCCUCACGCGGACACCAUGGCCUGGACGCAGCAACGUGACACCACAUCACUACGCCUACACUAGAUUCAGCAAAGGAACUCCGGCCCAUCCAACUUUCAGUGCAGCCAUACAUCCUUCAGCCUUCUACACCACGCCGGCAAGCCGGAAAGUGCUACAACAGUGGCAGCGCUCUCCCAGGCACUUGGGCUGCCCACAACUCCUACAAAAUAAAUUGGCACAAGCUUACUCACAUAGAUUUGCAGAUCGGCGCGUGUUAAAAAUAUGUACAUGCAGAUGGAUCAUUCGCAGAUCAUCUUUAUCGGGAAGGACUACUUCUCAAGCGACUACUGCCUUUAUCAAGUAA